GUUUCGGUUUCCUCUAUGUGAUAUUUCCCAGAAAUUAGGGGCAUUGCUAAUAAGAGCCGAGAUAUGACUUAGUAUAUCAGCCUAUGCAGGGAUUAACAUCGGCCCCUAAUGGGGCUCAGUCAGACAUUAACAAAGCUUGAGGUGCCAUUCAAUGUGUCUGUAUAUUGCAGCCAUGCUCCUCUGAAAGGGUUAAUGAAAUGAUACUUAUAUGAAUGAUCAG